GACAGGGCGAGAGCGUGGCCCCCAGCCUUAUUUGUUUCGUGUUGGUUUUUUUGUCUCAACUCGGGACAGGUUCUCGAAGUUGUUCUUUGUUGUCCCUUGUUCCUUCACAGUUGGGCAGCAGCUGAUUUCCUGUCCCCGGGAGCAUGUACAGUUAAUUAAAUGACAACCCUGGGCGGUCGGAUUCCCGGCCACAAUCAGACCUUGUUUAGACCAAAUCACGAAUCUGAAUUUUGCAGAAAUGACUCACUGGUCUUCCAGGAACCCAGAUUGAUUCCAUCUUCUUGCUCAAACCAACUUGAGGAACAUUCUGCAAACUAUGGGACCAGUACUCUUACAAAGUGCCAGGCUCAUGAGAGUAGUGUUCUUGCCACUUACCUGGUGACCAGCAAGAGGCCACCUUCCUCAGCCUGCACGGCAGAGGUAUAGCCAGAGAAGCCUUCUCUCCAAUGCCAGGCGAGCAGGGACCAGGUGGGGCGUGCUGGGUGUGGUGGGCCUUAGGACAUCAGGUGUAGGGCUCCCCUCUGCUCUUUCUCCCUUUCCUGGAGCUGGAAUAUGGAUAUUCCUCCAACCCAGCAUCAGUACUGCAGUGGGGACAGUGUCCUAGGUGAUGGAUGUUAUGAGUUGUGUGGUACCCCUCAAAAAGGUAUGUUGAUCUUAGGAGUGUAUAUCAAUAAUACCUUUAUAAAAAAAAAAGAUAUAUUGAUGUCCUAAUCCCCUGUACCUGUGAC